CUAUAGAUUGCUUUAGGUGGUAUGGACUUUUUAAUGACAUUAAUUCUUCCUAUCCAUGAACAUGGUAUAUGCUUCCACUUAUUUGUAUCUUCUUCAAUUUCUUUCUUCAGUGUCUCAUAAUUUUCCAGGUAUAGGGCUUUUACAUCCUUGGUCAGGUUUAUUCCUAGAUCCCCCUGUAUUUUAUUCUUUUUGAAUAAAUUGUAAAUGGGAUUGUUUUCUUAAUUUCCUUUUCUGUU